UUUUUUUUCCUUUUCACAAGUAGUCAUUCACCUAUUUUAUUUUAGAUCAUCGGAUCCAAGUUCUGCACCAGAAGCAUAUGAUGCAUGAACAUAAACUUUCAGAAAAACAAGAUGAAGUGUUAAGCACACCCAUGACUAUGACAGACGUAAAAGUUUCAGGGCCAUCUGUAAAAACACAGUUAUUACCAAGUGGAGUGCACAUUGAUGUGCAAGAGAUGCGAUCUUCUAACAGUGUGACAACAGAAGCAGCUCAGGUUUCUAAGAGUUCUUCAAUGCUGAUUAUUAACAAGCUGCAGAAGAUUUUCCCAAAUAUACUUUUGGACACUCAGACAAAAUAUAAGGAAGUGGAUAAUGAAAAAAAAGAAGACGGUAAAAAGAAAAGGAUGUUGUUUCCUGAUUUGGAGCAAGAUAAAAAUACUGGUAAUAACAAAGACAGAUUAACAAGAACUAAUAUUACUAUAAGAUUCCAUUCCAAUGAUAAUUCAAGCCAAACUCAGAUUGAUAUUUACAAUUUAAAAAAUUCAAGAGCGAAUCCUGAGGUGCAUAUUGUCGCCAGCAAUAUUAUUGACCAACAAAAUAAAAUAAAUUCAGUAGUAGUACAAGAUGAUGUUUUGCAAGUGACAGUAAACAGUUCGCUGGAUAAGAAAAUACAGAAUAAUACAAAAGUAAGAGAAAAAAGUCUUGCAAAAAUUGAGGCUGGAAAUAUGGAAAGAAACUCCACAGGUAGCAACAGGAAAAAACUUCUUAUAGCAGAUCUGCCUGAGUCUGCUACUUAUCCACAUCGUCAGUUGAACCGUAUUUUACAGACGCUGGAAGAUCACAUGGGUGUUCAAACAUAUAAUUUCCAAGGUGUAAAAGAAAACCAAUCUCAAGUGUCAGUGAGAAUGCUGAAGAAUGUAUUACAGGACUUACAGAAAGAAUAUAAAACACAGGUGCCUUUAACAGGUAGUGAGAGUAUGAACUCUUCAGUCAUGGAAAACAUUCUUCAAAAUUUAAAAAAACAUAAAGAGAAGUCAGAAUCCAGUGAAAAGGAAAACAAGGCACAGACACCUUUUGAGGGACAAAGUCGCAGUCUACAAGUCUCAGAUGAAAAUAUAGACCAAUUUAAAGUAACACUUGUGCCAGGGAACCAGUAAUAACUAAUACUUACAACAUUUACAAAAGAGAAAACCCAACAAAAGAUGAAGCCAAAUCAAUCACAGAAAUAGACUGCAAAGAACUGAAAAAAGACGUUGCUGUAGUGAAAAAUCAGUCUGAACAUAGUAACCUGAAUCAACUACCACUGCACUUAUCAACAGACAAAUCUAAAGAAAAUGGUCAAGACUUAGAACAUUCAGAAAAACAACCAGACCAUAAUACUUCCUCCAUUAACUCUCCAUCAAAAAGGAUUGAUGAAAGAAAUAUAAUUCUGUCAACAUCAACUGAACCUUUAGAGUGUAACCACUCUUCACAAAUGCCCCCUGACAAUUGUUCAUCUUCAGAAAUGAAAACAUGCAAGAACCACAGAACUAGACCUAGAACUUUAAAAACAAAUCAAUCUUGUUGUCACAAACCAAGACAACAUUGUACAGAACCAAAAGAACAUGGUUAUAAAAGACUACAGGAUAAAGAUACCGCUCUUCACAGAAAGCAUUUAAACCAUCAAAGAUCAUCUAGGCAUGACAGACAUAGAUCAAAGUCCACAAAAUGUAAUACAAGUCAUUCAAACUGUUCACUUCUAGAUGGAUGUUGUCAUGACUCAAGUCCUAGUGAUGAUUCUUCAUCAGAUGUAUUCAUUUCUUCAGAUACAACUGCAAAAACACAUCUAUCAGAAAUAUCCCAACAUGAUGGUUCAAAGUGUACAUAUUCUCAGCACAGAAUGGGUUCUUGUAGCUCUGAUUCAUAUUCUGAUUAGAACAUUAGUAGCACUCAAAGGAGUAAACAUUAUCAUUCUGCAUGAUCAGUGAUAUCCAUCAGCAUGUAGUACCAAUCAUUUUACCACGUGUGAUCAUGAUAGUCCUGGGUGUUAUGGAGGUUGUUUUCUUUUGUAAUCAUGCUAAUAAAUAAAUAUUUUUAUAUUAGGCUUCUGUACUU
rnacentral:lncRNA from 1 species